UACGUAGGGGGCUAGCGUUGUCCGGAAUCAUUGGGCGUAAAGCGCGUGUAGGCGGUCCGGUAAGUCCGUUGUGAAAGUCGAGGGCUCAACCCUCGAAUGCCGGUGGAUACUGUCGGGCUUGAGUACGGGAGAGGCGAGUGGAAUUCCUGGUGUAGCGGUGAAAUGCGCAGAUAUCAGGAGGAACACCGAUGGCGAAGGCAGCCUCCUGGGAUGACACUGACGCUCAUACACGAAAGCGUGGGGAGCAAACAGG
rnacentral:rRNA from 1 species